GAGGAGGAUGAAGGGUAACAUGAGGAGGAUGAAGGUAACAUGAGGAGGAUGAAGGUAACAUGAGGAGGAUGAAGGGGAACAUGAGGAGGAUGAAGGAUAACAUGAGGAGGAUGAAGGGGGACAUGAGGAGGAUGAAGGUAACAUGAGGAGGAUGAAGGGGAACUUGAGGAGGAUGAAGGUAACAUGAGGAGGAUGAAGGUAACAUGAGGAGGAUGAAGGGGAACAUGAGGAGGAUGAAGGUAACAUGAGGAGGAUGAAGGUAACAUGAGGAGGAUGAAGGUAACAUGAGGAAGAUGAAGGGUAACAUGAGGAGGAUGAAGGGGAACAUGAGGAGGAUGAAGGGGGACAUGAGGAGGAUGAAGGUAACAUGAGGAGGAUGAAGGUAACAUGAGGAGGAUGAAGGGGAACAUGAGGAGGAUGAAGGUAACAUGAGGAGGAUGAAGGUAACAUGAGGAGGAUGAAGGGGAACAUGAGGAGGAUGAAGGUAACAUGAGGAGGAUGAAGGGGGACAUGAGGAGGAUGAAGGUAACAUGAGGAGGAUGAAGGGUAACAUGAGGAGGAUGAAGGUAACAUGAGGAGGAUGAAGGGGAACAUGAGGAGGAUGAAGGGUAACAUGAGGAGGAUGAAGGUAACAUGUGGAGGAUGAAGGGGAACAUGAGGAGGAUGAAGGUAACAUGAGGAGGAUAAAGGGGAACAUUAGGAGGAUGAAGGUAACAUGAGGAGGAUGAAGGGGAACAUGAGGAGGAUGAAGGUAACAUGAGGAGGAUGAAGGGAAACUUGAGGAGGAUGAAGGUAGCAUGAGGAGGAUGAAGGUAACAUGAGGAGGAUGAAGGUAACAUGAGGAGGAUGAAGGGGGACGUGAGGAGGAUGAAGGUAACAUGAGGAGGAUGAAGGUAAC
rnacentral:lncRNA from 1 species